ACGAGAGCGCGUUCGGCGCUGUGAUUGGCCGGCUCUAAUGAACCAACCAAUCACAACGCUGAACGCGCUUUCGU
rnacentral:pre_miRNA from 1 species